rnacentral:rRNA from 1 species
AACGAACGCUGGCGGCAUGCCUAACACAUGCAAGUCGAACGAGACCUUCGGGUCUAGUGGCGCACGGGUGUGUAACGCGUGGGAACCUGCCCUUAGGUUCGGAAUAACUCCCCGACAGGGGUGCUAAUACCGGAUAAUGUCUUCGGACCAAAGAUUUACCGCCUUAGGAUGGGCCCGCGUUGGAUUAGCUAGUUGGUAGGGUAAAAGCCUACCAAGGCGACGAUCCAUAGCUGGUCUGAGAGGAUGAUCAGCCACACUGGGACUGAGACACGGCCCAGACUCCUACGGGAGGCAGCAGUGGGGAAUAUUGGACAAUGGGCGAAAGCCUGAUCCAGCAAUGCCGCGUGAGUGAUGAAGGCCUUAGGGCUGUAAAGCUCUUUUACCCGGGAAGAUAAUGACAGUACCGGGAGAAUAAGCCCCGGCUAACUCCGUG